rnacentral:rRNA from 1 species
GCAGUAGCCGCGGUAAUACGGAGGGUGCAAGCGUUAAUCGGAAUUACUGGGCGUAAAGCGCACGCAGGCGGUCUGUCAAGUCGGAUGUGAAAUCCCCGGGCUCAACCUGGGAACUGCAUCCGAAACUGGCAGGCUAGAGUCUUGUAGAGGGGGGUAGAAUUCCAGGUGUAGCGGUGAAAUGCGUAGAGAUCUGGAGGAAUACCGGUGGCGAAGGCGGCCCCCUGGACAAAGACUGACGCUCAGGUGCGAAAGCGUGGGGAGCAAACAGGAUUAGAGACCCGUGUAGUCCCUGUCUCUUAUAC